rnacentral:rRNA from 1 species
GAGUUUGAUCCUGGCUCAGAUUGAACGCUGGCGGCAUGCCUUACACAUGCAAGUCGAACGGCAGCACGGGAGCUUGCUCCUGGUGGCGAGUGGCGAACGGGUGAGUAAUAUAUCGGAACGUACCCUAGAGUGGGGGGUAACGCAGCGAAAGUUGCGCUAAUACCGCAUACGAUCUACGGAUGAAAGUGGGGGAUCGCAAGACCUCAUGCUCAUGGAGCGGCCGAUAUCUGAUUAGCUAGUUGGUGGGGUAAAGGCCUACCAAGGCUUCGAUCAGUAGCUGGUCUGAGAGGACGACCAGCCACACUGGAACUGAGACACGGUCCAGACUCCUACGGGAGGCAGCAGUGGGGAAUUUUGGACAAUGGGCGAAAGCCUGAUCCAGCAAAGCCGCGUGAGUGAAGAAGGCCUUCGGGUUGUAAAGCUCUUUUGUCAGGGAAGAAACGGUGGACUCUAAUACAGAUCACUAAUGACGGUACCUGAAGAAUAAGCACCGGCUAACUACGUGCCAGCAGCCGCGGUAAUACGUAGGGUGCAAGCGUUAAUCGGAAUUACUGGGCGUAAAGCGUGCGCAGGCGGUUUGGUAAGACAGAUGUGAAAUCCCCGGGCUCAACCUGGGAAUUGCAUUUGUGACUGCCCGGCUAGAGUGUGUCAGAGGGGGGUAGAAUUCCACGUGUAGCAGUGAAAUGCGUAGAGAUGUGGAGGAAUACCGAUGGCGAAGCAGCCCCCUGGGAUAACACUGACGCUCAUGCACGAAAGCGUGGGGAGCAAACAGGAUUAGAUACCCUGGUAGUCACGCCCUAAACGAUGUCUACUAGUUGUCGGGACUUAAUUGUCUUGGUAACGCAGCUAACGCGUGAAGUAGACCGCCUGGGGAGUACGGUCGCAAGAUUAAAACUCAAAGGAAUUGACGGGGACCCGCACAAGCGGUGGAUGAUGUGGAUUAAUUCGAUGCAACGCGAAAAACCUUACCUACCCUUGACAUGUACGGAAUCCUUGAGAGAUCAGGGAGUGCCCGAAAGAGAACCGUAACACAGGUGCUGCAUGGCUGUCGUCAGCUCGUGUCGUGAGAUGUUGGGUUAAGUCCCGCAACGAGCGCAACCCUUGUCAUUAGUUGCUACGAAAGGGCACUCUAAUGAGACUGCCGGUGACAAACCGGAGGAAGGUGGGGAUGACGUCAAGUCCUCAUGGCCCUUAUGGGUAGGGCUUCACACGUCAUACAAUGGUACAUACAGAGGGCCGCCAACCCGCGAGGGGGAGCUAAUCCCAGAAAGUGUAUCGUAGUCCGGAUUGUAGUCUGCAACUCGACUACAUGAAGUUGGAAUCGCUAGUAAUCGCGGAUCAGCAUGUCGCGGUGAAUACGUUCCCGGGUCUUGUACACACCGCCCGUCACACCAUGGGAGCGGGUUUCACCAGAAGUAGGUAGCCUAACCGUAAGGAGGGCGCUUACCACGGUGGGAUUCGUGACUGGGGUGAAGUCGUAACAAGGUAACC